rnacentral:rRNA from 1 species
UACGAAGGGGGCUAGCGUUGCUCGGAAUCACUGGGCGUAAAGCGCACGUAGGCGGAUUGUUAAGUCAGGGGUGAAAUCCUGGAGCUCAACUCCAGAACUGCCUUUGAUACUGGCAACCUUGAGUCCGGGAGAGGUGAGUGGAACUGCGAGUGUAGAGGUGAAAUUCGUAGAUAUUCGCAAGAACACCAGUGGCGAAGGCGGCUCACUGGCCCGGUACUGACGCUGAGGUGCGAAAGCGUGGGGAGCAAACAGG